rnacentral:tRNA from 1 species
GUUAGGAUAGCUCAGCUGGUAGAGAAGAGGACUAAAAAUCCUUGUCACCCGUUCAAAUCUGGUUCCUAGCA